GACGAACGCUGGCGGCGUGCCUAAUACAUGCAAGUAGGACGCAGUUGCGAACGGGAGAGUAACGCGUAGGUAACUGCCUAGUAGAGGGGGAUAACUAUGGGAAACGAUAGCUAAUACCGCAUACUAGUAGAUGGACCUGCGUUGUAUUAGCUAGUAGGUAGGGUAAUGGCCUACCUAGGCGACGAUACAUAGACGACCGUGGAGGGUGAUCGGCCACACUGGGACUGAGACACGGCCCAGACUCCUACGGGAGGCAGCAGUAGGGAAUCUUCGGCAAUGGGGGGAACCCUGACCGAGCAACGCCGCGUGAGUGAAGAAGGUUUUCGGAUCGUAAAGCUCUGUUGUUAAGGAAGCGGUACUUAACCAGAAAGGGACGGCUAACUACGUGCCAGCAGCCGCGGUAAUUC
rnacentral:rRNA from 1 species